CAUUCAUUAAUAUGUACCAUAUGUGAUGAGCAGAUAUUGGCCCAGUCUUGUUGCUAGGUGCAUACUCCAGCACAAUAACAUAAUUAAAGUGCACACCCACAAGACUUCAAAAUAAAAAAUUUUUACAGUUGUGCCCUACAUACAUUCACCAUUUCAGUCCCAUUAACAAGCUUUCCUUAAUAUGUCAAGGUAGUUGGACUGAAACAUUGAUUAC
rnacentral:lncRNA from 1 species